CCUAAGCCCAAGCAAGGGGCUGUGGGGCUGACCUAUGGAGGUGUAUACCAGCAGGCUAAGCUUGGGCCUUAGAGGCCCAAGGUAUACACCCCAAAGAGACAAGGUCAACUACACUUCUCCUACUUCACGCUCAGAUUGCAAACACAACCGAACCAAAAGCCAUGGCCAGAAACCUCUUCUCCUCCGCCGUGUCGGAAUCGCCUCCGACAGCGGCGGAGAGCCAAUUGCUACAAACUAUACACCAAACUAAAUGCCUCACCACACUUCGCUCAGAUCCCUCAUCGAUUCUAACUGAUUUGCAUCCAAUCCCCCUAACUGAGCCUAACUCGCUCCAAAAACCCAACCUCCAUAACGACCGUUCGAAUGCUUGGAUGAUUCUGCCGCGCCGGAGCUCAUUGUCGGCUGCGGCGGAGCUUCUAAUCGCCUAAUUGUACCGACGGAACAUGCACCUACCGUCGAAAGGAAACACCAAUGGAAUCAACUUCUUCUGCUGCGAUGUGCUUCUGCUAUGAAUUCUGUUGAUGAUGGAGUCACGAGAAUUGGUGCGGUUGUGGUGUGGAGUCACAGUGGUGGAGCUGAUGAUGUGAGGCACGGGAAGGAGAACAAAUGGAACCUUCUGUAAAUUAUGAUCAUGCGUUAUGAUCAUGCAGUUCUGCGUUUCAAAUUACAGCUUGUCGUUUAUGCUUGUUUCCAAUUUUCAAUUUGCUGCGUUUUGAUUAUUUUCAAUUUUCUGUUGCGUUUCAAUGUUGUGAGUUCAUGUCGUUUGGUAUCGGCUUGGAUGCCGCUUUCAGCUGUACGUUACAGUUGGUUUGUUGCUUAUUUCGUCAUAUUGUUACUGCGUUUUGAAUUGCUUGCGUUGGUGUUGUUUUGCAGGUGGCUUGGCUUGAUAUGCUUUUGGUUGAAGUUUGGAUCUACUGCGUUUGGCUUAGCUUAUUUUGGACCUGGGUUUGUUGCGUUUUACUUUUCCAUUAACUGCUAGUUUGACUGUGUUACUUGUUGCAGCUUUGUUUUGGUUCGUGACGCCGUUGUUUAUGUACUUUCAUGCACACUGUAGCAGCUGGUAUUGACUUGGUUUGGAUCUACUGUGUUUAUGGCUUGCACUUUGAUGCCGCGUUGCUGUAGUUUGGAGUAUUGCGUUUGGAUGGAAGCUUUAUGCAGCUGGGAGUUUGGAAGUGGCUCAUGGAUAAUAGCUCGUUGAUGCGGUUUGGUUUGCUGGCUGUUGUUGUGCGUUUCGUUGCAGUUUCAUCUGCGUUUUGCCUUUUGGUUUUUGUAUCUGCGUUUUGCAGCUUUUACGUGUUGAUUGUACAUCGCUUUGCAACGGUGUACUAUUUCCCUUGCAAUUCUUCCACUUGCAUUUUCUCUUUUUUUGUCUUAUCUGCAGUGCUUUGGUAUGAUACUUGGAUAUAGAUUGUGUAAUUUGGGAUAUGGACCUAAUCUAAUGGAUAAUGAAUAAGCCAAAUGGACUUGUUGGAUA